UGGGAGAGUGAGGAGGGAGUUCAGAGAGAGAGAGAGGAACAAGAGCCACAUGUAAGAGCAGGUGAGUAAACUACAAGAAAAAAAAAAGAUCUAAAAUGUUUUAUGUGUCUUUUAUCAGUGAUGUGUUUCUUAUAACCUUCAGUUUAAGUUGUUUGAGUCACAUGGAGUGAGGCAUGCUAUGUCAUGUUGCAUUGUGGCCCAUCUGUGAGAAAUCGUCCUUGAGUGAGCUCCUCCUCGUACAAGCUUAACCAUUUCUCCUUUUUUCUUUUUUGGCAGUUUUUACUUUUAAUUUACACUAACAAACAAAAAGAACAGAAGAGAGACUGUUCAUGACUGUUCAUGCAGCUUGUCAGAUACUAAAAAGGCCCUACAAUCAAAUUAGACUGUUGUGAUAGCUGUUGUUAAGUGUAACAGAUAAAUUUAGGAUUUUGUUGUUUCAUGCACCAGAUGCCACUUUAAAAAUCUAGACUUGGUUUUGUUAGAAAGAGCUGAACAAACUCGGUCUGAUUACUCGCUGAAUCUCCUGUGCCAGAAAAUGGAGUUUCUUUGGGUUGGUUUUCCACGUCAACAAAACCAGUAUCAUCUGAAAUAAGAACUGUUUAAUGAAAUAUUCCUUUAUUCUCACCGAUAUCAGGUUGAUAUUUGUCAUUUAGUAAAAAAGUUUAAAGGAGACAAUGAGAUAAAGUGUCUGUCGGAGCAAAUGAACUUAAUCCUAACUACAUCUUGGCUGAAACUGAACGGCGACUGUGAAUCUACCAUGUGUAGCGCUAUAAUUUAAUCAUCCAACCGCAUGCAUUUUACCGAAGAGAUUCAUUAUUCAACAUACUUUGGGAUUCGUUUCACAGUGUCAAACAUCAGGUUGGAAUAAAACAAUGACAGCCCCCUAAAGAACGACUCUGUCUUUGUUUCAGAGCGCACAAACAUGCGAUAUAAUAUUCAAUAGGAUUGUCAUUAGUAUGCAGAUAAAACAAAGGACUCUGUCUUCUCCCAAAGAGAAAAAAGCAAAGUGAAAUCUCAGAGCUGCGUGAUUCUUUAUGGGACUGUAUAUCUCUGCGCUUUUGUUUAACCUUCAGCUGGGGGCUUAAGGGAUCCGGUUCUUAUAGAGCCGUGAAAAACAGAAUCUCAGUUUAACAAAAGGAUGUUGUUAUCAUGGGAGGAUUGUGGGGUUAAUUAUUAAUUUUCACUGCAGCUCUUUAGUAUGUUUUUCCACAUUAAAAGCUUUAUUUAUGCGCUGAAAAGGGAUUUACAUCAUAACAAAGCAAACAUGAAGGUUUAUGAUGUUCGAUUCGACCAAAAUGUCCCUUUUGACUUUCAUUUCUCUGAGGAAGUCAUCAAAGUCGCCACACUCACAGAGACGUAUCAGCAGUUCACUUCAUGAAACAUGAGCUCUCAGAGUAUAAUUUAUGAUCUUUUCCUUGGGUCAAAUAAAUAGUGUAAAGCCUUUCAUAUGAAACUUGGCACUGCUUAUGUUUUAUCAUGCUGAUUAGUGAAAAUCUCAGGGUGUACAUUUUUGGCUCAAGAUUUAUUUGAGUCUGUGCAAGAGCUAGAAAUCUUUUAUUUAAUACUGAACCUGACAUUUAGAAGGUCGACCUUCUUCUGUUUUUAAUUUAAAGUUUUGAUACACCAGCGAUCUCAUGACCCUGUCAGAGGUUUGUGCGCCUGAAGAUACACUUCCCUGAUAUGAUUGAGAACUUUUUCUGAGUUUAAUAUCAGGCAUAUUUUAGAAAUGUAACAGUGUUCUCAGAGCACUCGAGGAAAAUUUCUCUGAAAAUGGAUAACCGUCCAAGAAUCCAGUAUAUCUGUAUUAAGGUCCAACGCAUGUUGUGUCAAUUAUGUGCGAGUACAAACCCUCGACUUCACGCAGUUAGCUCUUGUGUUGUGUUGCAUCCCUGUUCUCUGCUGCGCAGAGCUGUGAUGUGCACUCUCAUCCUGACAGAGCUGUCCACUUACACAAUAAGCUAACGAGAGUCAUGACACAUCUUUCUGUUUUAUGUAAUGUUUAGAUUUGGUAGAUUGUUUUAUAAAAGUAUCCGGUAACACUUUACAAUAACCAUAAUUUAGAAAUGGCAAAUAGAUAGUUUAUUAAUGUAAGUUAAUAGUUACUUUACCAUUAACAAACAAUGAUAUUAUGAUUCAUAAUUUCAAUUAAUUAUUAAUGGACUAUUUAUUAAAGGUUUAUAUUGGGUUUAAAUAUUGGUUGUAAAACCUCUAGAUUAAAAUGUGUGUCAGUUGCACUUUGUAAAUGGUUAAUAUUUGGUUUUUAAACCAUCUAUAAACAUUACUUAGAUGGUUAUUGUAAAGUUAAGGUUAGGUUUUUAAAAUGAUAAAAUUUACAAUUUAUUAAAGGUCUAUAUGCUUUUUAUAAAUGAUAAAUAAACAUUAAUAAACUAUCUGCUUACCAUUUAUAAGUUAUGGUUAUCGUAAAGUAUUACCAACUAUCUUAAGUUUGCUAGUGUAGUUCAUUCAAAUAAAAGUGAGUUAUAUAUGGGAUGGUGAUGAUUUAGCACAUACGAGGGCUAUAGUCCUCAUCACAGCAGCUGCUAUCUCUCUACUCCCACUUGUCCUGUCUCUCUCUUCUUAUCUAAUAAAGUCAAAAAUGCCAAAAAAAUAGUUCUAAAAAAGUGGGUUAUAUUUAUUUACACCAUUUACAGCUCUGUAAAAGGUGAAACUGUGAAUAUAAUCACUGCAAAUCAGCUGCGACAUCACUCCAACUGCAUGUAUGUGCUUUACCCCAUGUUCAUAAAUUAGACUUUUUUUGCAGGGUCAAUUUUGCGUCCUAGUCUGCAUAGUGUCUCAGACAGCACAAAUACACAGACAUCAUUUUCUCUGCAGCACAGUUUCAGAUGCAUUCAUCCCUUGGCAUGUUCUUUGUGAAUUACACGUUGUCUCUUGGUCUAAUUAACGCAGGUUUAGCAGGCACAAAAGCUGUGAAAUUCCUUUGUGAAUUCAAUUUUUACUCCUCUUCCAAGUUUUUGGUGUACUCCCCAAAGAGAGUCUGUUGCCAGGUGUGGAGAAAACUAGUUUAAGAUGUGAAAAAUAUGUAUGAAGAGUUUUUUGAAUCCAGAGAGAGUCUUGAGAAAUAUCGUUCCAUGUGUGGUUGCAGAAGUCUAGGUUGAAAAUGACACAAAUCAUAGGUUUUGGCCAAAGGAUUGAGUUUGCCUGGCCUUCACAGCUCACCACUCAUCUGUGCUUGAGGCCAGUGACUCAAGGCCAGACUAGCUACAGGGUGACAAUCUUGAACCAGCUGUCAGUGGUCGAGCUGCUUAGUGGUUACUGAAGGCACCAGGUCUUGACAAGAAAUGUCACAAUAUUCCUUCAAUAGACCGUCUUUCUCAUUAUUACAUAAAAAUCGUCACUGAUUCAUUUUUGAGGCAAAUUUAAUCAAAAAGCUAGGAAGGCUACUGGCAUCCUUUUCUGUUUUUAUCGGCUAUGUCCUUCUGUACCACAUUUGUUUGUUUCUGUUUGUUUUUUUGUUUAGCCGCCUGCAAUAUGUGUACUGUUGAGGAACAGUCCGUUCUCAUCAAGACAACAGUAAACAGUUGUUAUAAUUCUCAUGCAUACCAAGGCACUCUCCUGUGUGUUGUCUGGCUGUGAAAUGAGACCCAAUUACAGGCGUUCUGUAUUCACUCACACUGUUUUCUCUCUCCUUCAAGUAAUUCUCAUUUCAAUAUGUUGUCAAGAGAGAUAAACAAAGUACGAAAUGACAGGUCAAAGGUUCAGACACGCGCAGAGAGUCAAAUAACCGACCAGACAGAUAUGUAGGCGCACAGCAAGACGAGCAUAUUAAACUCUAGGUUUGCAGAUUUAUAGACAGUGAAAAGAACAUACAGUCUUUACUCAAGUGGAAGACAGAUGCGUUUAAAAAUCAGGUCACAGGUCAGAAACUGCUGAAAGAGUAAAAGUAAAACAGGUCCUUCAGAAGGACAUUUCGUCCAUGCUGUUGCUGUGUUUUUUUUAUGAAGUACUGGUCAUUUCUGAUACAAUACAAUACAGCAAGAUGCUUGAAGUACCCAGGAAUACAUAAUGAUAUUUCCUAACAUGUCAUGAUGCAUCUUAAUAGCUCAAGAAACAUUGUGUCAGAGCCAACAUAACAAAUCAUGAUAUUUCUUAAGAUGUCAUGACAUAUCUUGACACUUCAUAAUGUCACGAUACAUUUUAUUUUUAAUUUAUCACCAUAUAUCCUGACAUGUGGCGAUAUACUGUAUUUUUUGUUAUAUUGUGACAUAUCUGAUAUGUCUUGAUACAUUCUGAUAAAUCUUCAUCCUAAGCCGUCAUGAUACAUCUUGAUAGCCCAUGAAACAUUGUGUCUGCAUUGAUUUAUGUUAGUAUCUUCAAAUAUAUCAAGAAAUAUCCUGAUACUUCAUGGUACAACAUGAUAAAUCAUGAUAUUUAUAAAUAUAUCAUGACAUACCUUGAUACUUCAUAAUAUCAUGAUACAUUUUUUUUGUGUGUGAUAAUAGUAUAUCCUAAGAUAUCCUGACAUAUGGUGAAUUGUGAUAUAUCUGGUAUGUCUCGAUACAUUCCAAUACAUCUUUAUAGUUAUUAAUAGAUCAUGAAUCAUCCUAUGCCGUCAUGAUAUAUCUUGAUAUGUCAUGAUAUAUCCUAAAGCAACUUGAUAAGUAUGCAUGUAGUGAUAACUUCUGAUAGAUCCCAGUACAUUUUGAUAUACCCUGACAUUUGAUUUGUCAUGAUGCAUUGUUAUACACAUUACUAUGUCGUGAUAAGUCAUGAUAGAUCUUGAAAGAUCCUGGUAUGUCAUUUUCAAUCUUGAUGUUUACUUAUUUUGUCUGUUUUUGCAUGUCGUCAAUCAUCCAAAUACACCCUCAUACUUCAAAAUUUUAUCUUGAUAGUUUGUUUUGUGUUGUAGUAUAUCUUGACACUGAUAUAUUAUGAUUCUUAGUGAUAUGUCAUGACAUACCAUGAUAUAUCUUGAUACCUUGAAGUUCAUUGGAGGACAUCUUGAUAUGUUGUGUCACACCCUGAUACUACAGAGUGUAUCCUGAUGAUUCCUGAUACAAAUGUUGAUAUGUUGUGAUAUAUCCUGAUAGUUGAUGUGAUAUUGUGGAUGUAUUAAAGGCUGGAGAAAUCUGAAAAAAAUUAAAUACAAGCUUUUGCUGAACAUCAGUUGUGGUCAGUCAGUGACAAGAAGCUGGAUUAUUUUUUUUUUUUCAUCUUUAUUUUUGAUGAAAAACACAACAGGCUUUGAAAAGAGAGUCUCGUACAAACUGGGCAGGCAAAAGAGGGUCUUCGUAAAAAGGGUGCACACACACACACACACACCUCUGUUGUAGUUACCUUGUUAACAGCGCUCACAUUAGUAAUUGUGACAUCACACGGGACAUUUCCAUUCAGGUGUGACUGCCACAGGCCUCCACGGAGACUGAGCAGGAUGACCUUUUUCAGCACAUAGAAGCAGGACUCUCCUGGCCUCUACACAGCCAGGUGCACCGAGGGACCGACACGGGUCGAUUGUGCUCUGCGCCGCACAUGCCCUUUUGAUAAUUAAUUAACAUAAGUACAUGACAGUCAAUUUGUUUUUGUGCAGUGUUAGUGUUCAUCUGUGUGCCAUGCCCUUUCUCUGUGGCAUAAUCACAUUCGCAUUAGAGAUAAUGUUUGGCUGAGGGAAACAGGUAGAGACAGGAUUGCUGUGGAUUUUAAUAAUGGAUAUUUUAUUUGGUAUUUUAGGGGAAGCAAAACCAUCUAGGUACUUUGUUCAAUUACAGGAGCAUUAAAUUCAUCCAACUGUGACUGUUCCGGCCAAAUUGCAUUUUGCUAAAACAGUAUCAGUAACAGGCUUUAAAUAUGUGUUUAAAAAAACACACUUUCCUUGCCGCAUUUGCCUGUUUGCUUGUUUUAAUGCAUUCAUGAAUAGCAUAAAUAAAGGGCUCUGAAAGCAUAAUCUGGUUAAAUGAAACCCUCUGAGACCGACAUACAUUAUAUAAAAUGGUCACAACUUCCUUAAAAUCUUGUUUGUUAUGGUGGCACCUUUUUGUUUUCACAGUUUUAACCUCAGAUAAAAACUGAAAUCCAAUCACUGACUGCAGGACUGUAAAGACAUCCGUCAAUAAGGAAGUAAAAUUUCAGGUUUUAUGCAUGUUUCUCUUAAAUUCACUCCAAACAGGACGCUGGAUAAAACUUGAGGAUAAAAAAAUGUUGUAAGAAUAAAUAUAUUGAUGGGCUUGAUUGCUGCCUCCUCUCUGAGUGCUCAGAACAGCGAAGGACCUUCUCUGUAGCUCUGAAGACACUGCACAAAGUGAGAUUAUGUAAUGGUCUGUGUCAUUAUUUGUCAGCGCUGGAUGUCGGCGGUAAAAAUCACCUCAGAUUGUCAAUUUGUCCUCAACAUUUUCAAGGCCGUUUAGAAAAACUACAGACGGGGGAUUUGGUAUUCAGGGCCUGUGUGUUUCCAGUUUCUGUCUGCCUGCAAAUGUGAUGAAAAAAAGAAUUCCUGGGAUGUCUUAGAUUUUGAUGUAUUAAAGACCUCUGCAUAAGUCUCUGUCCCUUCAGAUUCUCAGCCUCUGAUGCCUCUGUGUCGCUGGAAAUGAAAAAUUUACUCAGCUGAGAACAUGAGUUAGGAACAGCGUCCCUGUAGACGGAGUUAAAGGCAAAUAUAAAUGACAUGUCCACCAUUUCACUGAGAAACAACACUGGUUGUGUUAGCCUCAGGGUUCCUGUCAGGCCUUUUUUUAAAAAUAUACUGUACUGGUAAUGGGGUUGUAUAUCUUAUUACUUAUCACAAAGCUGAUACAGCAUGAAGCUGUGUUUGUCUUGCAGAGCAGAAAUUUCUUAUCAAGCUUGAAGGUGGUGUAUUAUUUAUAUAUUCAAAAUGUAUAGUAACCAAAAACACCCAUUAUUUAACAGAGCUCGAGCAUUCAUCUAUGCAUUUUUGGCUACAGCAGAAAAAAACAAAGAAAAUAUGACUUUAUUGGGGGUAAAAUGCUGAUUUUAAGAUGUCGGCAUACAAAAGUGAAAGGAUUGAAGGAUGGGGUUUUAUCCGUUUGUCCAUAUCUGCGGAUUAAACAUGUCAGCACUGGGUUUGUCUCGUCUGAAUGUUCAGUGUUUCGCUGAGAGGCUUGACUCUGUGUUUGUUUUUCAGACCGCAGUUGUUUUAAUAGACAUACCUGACCUCACUUGAGCAAUCUCACUUUAUCUGGUGUCGAGUUUUUUUCAUAGUUACAACAGGAAACUUUAACGCUGCCAUUCAGUCAGUCUGGAUCCUUCAGUUCAGGUCUCUCACUCGCUCUUGUGCAACGCUGCAUCCUCUAAUUUUCAACUCUUAACCCCUGCAUUAUCUAAGUCGAUAUAUCCUGCCUUUCACUGAGUCCAAAUUUUGUAUAAAUCAUUGAGGCCAAUCUAACAAGAGGCAAAAAGCCAGAUUUGGGGCUGACCUUUAACCUCUAUUCGAACAGUCAGUCUGCCAUGAUCCUAAUUAUGCAAAACUUGUAACCUUAACAGCUUUAAAAACAAAUGAAACUCUCUCCCUGCACGGUGCAUGCAAAUCGAUAUGAGCCGUUAAGAUUAAAGGUUGUGAACAUGUUAGAUUUUGCAGUAAAAUGAACUUAAAGACUUCUGGGAAUUUUAUAUUCAGUCUGAUUUGGAGGUUUCUUCACUCUUCUGCGCUGGUGGCAACAAUUUGGAAAGAGAUAACAAAAUGACUGAAUUUGUAUUUAUGUACAAUCCAUUUUUCUGUCUGUGUUACUCAGUAUUUUUAUUUUGAUAUUAUUUAAAGCUCCUGUAAUGGAGUUUUUGUUUGUGUCAAUGUUGGCGCCCCCUGUGGGCAAACUUUUCUUGUCCUCUACAAGCUUAAGUAGUGUCUCCUGACAAAAUAUCCUAUAACCCUGACUCCUGAUAUGCAAAAAAAUAAGCAUAAAAGUAAGUAUAUAAAAUAUGAAAGUCAGUUACUGGGUAUAUUUUAUAUGGGAAACAUAAAAAGCCUCUAGGAAUUUUACAUUCAGUGUCAAGUCGAAGUUUCUUUACACUUCUGUGCUGGUGGAAACAAUUUGAAAGGGAUAUAAAAAUGACUGAAUUUGUGUUUAUGUACAAUCCAUUUUUCUGUCUGUCUUGCUCAGUAUUUUUGUUUUGAUAUCAUUUAAAGCUCCUGUAAGGGACUUUUUAUUUGUGUCAAUGUUGGCGCCCCCCUGUGGACAAACCUAUUUCACCCUCUACAAGCCGUAAUAGUUUAUCCUGAUAUAAUAUCUUAUAACCCUGACUCCUGAUAUGCAAAAGUAUAUGUAUAAAAGUAAGUAUAUGAAGUAUAAAAGUCAGUUACUGGGUACAUUUUAUAUGGGAAACAUAAAAAAAAGGCUGUUUCUUGACCUGCUUGGCUGACACCUCCCCUCCUGCACUUGUUUGCGUUUGUGUAUCAUUUAAAGUUAUUGCCAUAUUUCAUGAAGGUCAAAAAACUCCUUACUGAAGCUUUAACCUUGAAUUUAACCAGAAAACUCACAUCUGAGGUCAAAAUGUCUUUCAUAAGGGCGACUCUCACUUUUUAGAUAUGAUCGUAAUCAUCAUUUGUUUUCUUUACUUAAACCAAAUUCUGCUUUUUCACCUUAAAGUUUGACUCAAUGAAAUAUUAUUACACUUCGCUUGGGUUGAGUCAACCGGAUCUUCUCCAACCGCAGCCUGAUCAUAGACUCGUGUCAAAAGAUGAAGGCUAAUGCGUGGUUCGUGUUUUCAGUACUUAACACACUCAUACCUUUUUAAAUUGCCAUCCUCUCUCUGCUUUGUUGUAGCCGAUAAAUAAUUUCUGCUGUAAGGCGAGGCGAAGUGCCAGAACUUUAAAGAAGUGUUAUUCAUACAGGAUGUUUUAGUGAUUGAUUUUUCACAAAGUUAAAGUCCUAGUUUGUGUUUAUUUGGUCUCAAAUGUAAUAUUAAGCUUUUUAUUCUGUUGAUAUUGUGGCUUUAUUAUUGCUGCAGGUAAACAGUGAAGUCCAUUUAGUGCAUCUACUUAGAAAACAGACCCAGAGGUAGAGAGAGAGCUGUAAUGAGGUCAUGCUCUAGACUCACUGAGUCAAGGUGACGUGUGAGGGUGAGUUAAUCAAUUAUGCAAACCUGUUAUUCACGGUGGGCUUUUAUGCUGAAAGAGCUUCUGUAUUAAGAUUAUGUAAAUGUUACUCUGAGGUUAUUUUAGGCCACAUUUUUUUGAACAAACCUACUUUCCCUACAGAGACCAAAAUGUGCGUGUUUUGUUGUUCUUCGUGCCCUCGCUCGGAGAAGAGGAUCUCGUCCGGCUCUUGAAUAGCGGAUGUAUAGGAAAACGGGAAUGUGGUGUGUGUGAGGACUUGGCGACAUGCUGUCUUGUUUCAGCCAAACUGAAGGGAUUUUUGGUUUCAGUUUGCAGGCACAGGUGCUCCUGCAAGGCUCGUUCCCGGCGUCUGUGGCAGAAGCCAUGGACAUCCUUCUUAAUCAGAUUCUGCAGAGGGCGAUAAUGAAAGGAGGCCAGUGGUCCUUUGGCAGCCUCGCAGGUCUUUCUUAUACCCGUUCUCUUGAAAGCAGAGGGCGAGGGAGGGUUGAAAGAAGCUCGCCUGCUAUUGUUCCCGUCUCAUUGAACCUUGCUGCUGAAGUGAAUAGCUAUCUCUGGUCGUCUUGGCAUGUGAGGCCUGCAGCUAGCUGAGUAGCUUCCAGCAUUAGCUGAUGCCAUGAGCCUGCUGGCUUGAAAACGACCCACCCGUAACGCCGAGGUUUUUGCUGCAAGGCUUCUUGGACUUGCAGGAUCAGGUUGUUCUGGGGUGAUUUAGAUUUUACAACCUUAAGACUUUGAAGAUGAGGAGAAGAAGAGCACAGAUAAAAAAAAUAGAGACUGUUGGACUGUCCACAUCUGCUUUGCUGGUUUGGCCUAGUGGUUGGAAAAUAUAGAGCAGGGGAAAGAGCAACCAUAAGAAUAGCUGUAAUGAAAACAUAAGGGACUUUGAUGCAUGUGUCAUGAUUUGGGAAUCAAAUCAAGACGUAUAUCAAGAAGUUGACCUUUACUGCUACACCAGUGUCUGACAUAGAAGUAGAAGAGUGCAAAUGUGUCCUAUCACUGUUGAUAUGGUGUGCAAUUAUUCCUAAAGUGAUAACUCACUGACAUCCCGUGUUAAUGUGGCCGCAUUUGCACUUUUCAGGAGCUCCAGUUUGGUUGCUUUCAUUGUUUCAUACAGGUCUCCUAUGUGUGAAAUGCUGGUCCCUACAAGUUUUCUAGAGUGGCCUGCAGCAGAGGCGUCACAGUAAGUCACAGUAAUGGGAAGAGGGUCCAAACGCCAAGAGUGUGAGGACCCUCUCUGAAUGGAAAUACUUAUUAUUAUUCUUUCUGCCAAAUUAAUUGCUUUUUUGGAAGCCUUAAACUUUUCAGCCAAGAACCAGAAAACUUUGAAUUUCAACAAGAAGUUUUAACCGUACUUUUAGAGACGUGAACAUUUGAACCAAACUGCAGCACAUAACUUUAAAACUGCCUUAUGAUCAUUUCUUCAUGGAAAUGCAAUCAGACCGAGACGCUAAGGCAGAAGAACUACCGUGUCUGCAGUGGAAAAUUAUAAAUAUGAUGAUUAUUAUGUUCUUCCUUGAGCUGCGUCACUCCACUGUAGUCCGUAAUGGACUGGCCUGAGGUCUUGCUACAAACAAACGGCUGCUGGAAGAGAGUAGGUGAGUUGUGUUUAGUCUCUUUGCUAAAGAAAUCAGGCAAAGUUAAAAAGAUGUUUGGUGGCUGGGACCCUAUAUGUCCUGUUGAUGAAGUUAGGUGCUGUUCUGAGCAUUAUUUGUGGCUAUAGAGUGGCUUUUUGGUUGAGGUUUGUUUAUGGCCCCUCAGACCGCUGUGUAUUGCUAUCCUGCGGUUGUUACUAAAGUUGGUAUAACUAGAGGAGCAAGCGGUUGGCAACAUAAUCCAUCUUGUAGACAGACUAAGAGCAUUUCUGUUUUAUUACUCAUAUGGUUGGACGAUCACAUGUUGCAGACGUGUUAGAUUUGUGUGAUUUGUUGUUUGAUAAAUCAGGUUUUGAAUCACAAAGAUUGUGUCAUUCAAAAGCACUGCAGUGUUGUUAUCUUCCAUCAUAGUAGCAAAAUGAAGCAAGAGGACACUGCAGGGCUUAACUACAGUGUGCUGUAAGGGACAAAAUAGUAUGCUAUACAGAAAAAGAUAUCUAUUUAUACUUCAACUGAAUCGUGAUUGAUGCCGUACUUUUAGUGCUUAUUAUUCAGUCAAAUGAGAGAGCUCGUUUUUAAACAGGCAGUUAACAAUAUGAGGAUUUAAUUCAUCACAGCAGGAUUUUCAGGGAUUAAAUUGAAUCAAGUGUCUGUUUGGGUAUUACAAACUUUAAAAGAGUUAAAAUCGAAACUCUCAAUGUUUAAGUGCUCCUUUUAUAUCCUUGGCAGAAAACAUGUAGGGAGAACCUUCGUCAACCAAAACCCAUGAAGUACCUCUCUGAGCGCGGGCCCUGCGGCUCCUCAUCUUCCUUUUAUUUCAAACUUUAAUUACACCAAACCUGAAAACUCCUAGAACGGCAACAUAAUCAGGAAGAAUAUCAGCAAGGACCUGUUCUCUAAGGUUUAUGAAGAAAAAAUUCACUUAAGCACUUAAGAAAUAUCUCAAAUAUGAAUAAUUCAUGCUGUUAUCUAUUAUAAAUGUAAUUAUUACACCAGUGUUUCUGCAGGCUGGAGUUGGGAAACAAGAAAAGUGGUAAUAAUACAAACUAGAUGUUAACCGAAUUUCACUCAAGCUGUAACUUUUAAUUAUACCGAUGGCUUUUUAAUGGAUUUAAUACCAUUUUCAUUAUUAGACAUGAUGCGCAAACUAUUUAAUAAUUUAAGGGUGCAGAAAAAGUGCUUGAAAAUUGUUAAUUAUUUGCACUUGUAAUAAGUUUCUUAAAUCCUCCAGACCAGAGAAUCUUUUAAAAAAUUAAUGUUUGUUCAUUUUGGGACAAAUUAAAGUAAUUUUCUCUUAAAACAUGAUGAAUAUUUCAACAGAGGACACCAACAUUUUAGCUGCAGCAGACUGUUUUCUUGCUCAUUUUCGUCUUGCUGAUUGGCUGCGUUACAAACCCAUGAUCUGAACCCUCCGAGGAGCACUUUGUGACCUACUCUCUCUCUGUUUACACAUAACUAGCUGCUCAUAAUUUGAGUUGUGUUUUUUAAGCAGAGGAAUAAAGUGGCAGAUGCUGACUCUGGCUCUUUUUGUCUCUUACUCCUCUGCAUAAACAGCCGCCUGAUGACAAGACUGCAGCACCAAUUCAACAGGGAUUUGCAGCUUGUACGCUAACUGCAUGAAUAUUAAUUAUGCUUUCUAACUAUAUGUUCCACACAAGGGGCUUAGCCUGCAUAUUAUUAUCACUUUUAGCUGAAUUCACAAGCUGAUCAUAUGGAUUCAGAUUUACUCACGUUUGUUUUAAAUGAAAGCGGAUGUAAAGAAAAUCAUUUACAUUUACAAAACUAGCCUCUGUGCAAUAUUUCAUGAAAGGAAAGAGCUGAUGAUUUAUUUAUCUUAUCCACAAGUGGGUUCAGUUCGCCUUGGGGAGCAAAGCUGUGCAACAAGCUACAAGGUAACAUCCUUUAUAUGUCAGACUGAGCUAUAAAAGCAGAGAAGGCAUGAGUGGUGCAUGAAAACAAACAAAAAAAACCUCCAAACAAGAUCAUUUUUCCCAAUGUCGCCAUGACAUUAACAUGCCUGCGUAGUGCCAUCUCUUUUUUGAAAACCUUGUGCGGCCAAAACAUAAAGAGACGGAGGGAAGUGGAGCAGCCUUGUUCAAAGGUUAAAGAAAAAUAUGCUUUGCUUCACUGAAUGGGUUUCAACAUGAAAGUCCAUGAUGUGAGGUGCAACAUUUAGCCAGAGGAACACAGAGUCCUUCAGCUGAUCUGAAAACUUCCUCUCUGCUCCGAUUGGCUAAAUCUGCAGCAGGAUGUCAAACCGCUUCAUGGUUGGAGACUUUGACCUCAUUCCUCCCAUCAUGUAUUGAUUUAUUUAACAGCAUUAAAAGAGCAGUAACCUUUCUGGGACGAUCAUACAAACUGCUGCAAAAUCAAUGUUUGCAUAAAGACAUCACCCCCAAUUUCCACCGCAUCCGGAAAAAGUAUCUGUCGAUCGUAGCUGAUCGUAACCAUUCAAGUUAAUGUGUCAAUUUCCACCGGCUUCUUUCCGUUCCGCUGCGGAUCGCAAGAGUUCUAUUUUUUCCAGACGCCAGAGCAUGCAGGAUAAAUUCAGCGCAGAUGAACCCGUACUGGAAAGGAUGUCGGGCUCAGACACAAAAUAAAACAUCCGGCUUCUUUUCAAAAUAAAGCGGAUCGUAUUUCAAACCAUGCAAACAGGCAGGGACGAACAAGUGAAAGGUUUAUAGACAGCACUUCACCCUGAUGACACCGUGGAUGAGAGGAUGCUGAGUACCGUAUUUCUAGCACUAUAAGGCGCACUUAAAAUCCUUUUGGCUUGUCGGAGCACUGCAGCUACCGUGACCUCACUGAGUUAUUGAGUCAAAUAAAGUUUGACUUAUCUGACUGUUUUGUUUGGCUUAAUGCGCCUAACAAUCCGGUGCACCUUAUAGUGUGAAAAAUACGUAGAUUUCCUCCUCUGAAAGGACACAAUAUUCUGCUUGUAUGGUUAGCCUAUGUGGCUAUAGAGACAACUCGUUAUCACGCGAUUGCACGUGAAUCAGUGGGUUCUUGUGAGUUCUUGCGAUGUCCGUAAUCCGCCACAAAAUUCGCCUCACAAACGGAUGUGGUAGGAAUUGGCUGACAGCUAAAAUGGCGACUGUUGGAGCCAUUCCGGAUGCGGUGGAAAUCCCGGGUUAGAGUAGCAUCUUUUAUCAUGACUGAUGGGCAAAACAAAAUUGAGAAACAGGAGCAGGUGCAUAUCUGCGUAUGUCUGAAAAGCCAAGGGACAGAAUAAGUGUGAUAAGCGAAAGACUGCAGCUUACUGACUGACUUCAAGUUCUUAUCUAUUUAAUAAUGAUCUUGCUUGUGCAAACAUAUCUAUUUGACUGUUGUCUCUGCGGUUUUAAACUGGAACUGUCAACAAGAAAGUGGCGUCAUAAGAAGAUGACCUCCACGGGAAUAUACUCCGUAAAUGAAAAUUAACUCUGCUCGUUCUCGGCGCAGCCUGAAAGCUAUCCAAGGAUUGUAAAAGUUGCCCUCUAUACUCCAGCUUACUUCCACCACACGCACACCUCCAAAACACCAAGCGCUGUAGAUAUUUGAGACUAGAUGUGUGACCUACAUGUCAAAUCGAGUCAAAAUAAUUGGUCUCUCUCCUUGUGACUGUUGGAGUCAAAGGGCUUUCGAGUAUCAUAGCAGAGAAAUCAUCAAGGGGAAAAACCUCCAGAAACAUGAGAGACAGAGUGUGAGGGCGAGAGGAUGAAGCCUCAUAACGUGUGUUUUGUUUCCACAAUUAGUAUUCAUGAAUGUUCUUUGUGAAAAUGCAUGGAUUAUUAAUACUGUGCUCUCUCAUUGCAUGUUUAAUAAUCUGUCAUAACAACAGUUGACCUUUCUCAACAUAAUUGAAACAGAUUUCCUUCGACCUCUUUGCUUUUUCAAGUCUUUGCCCUCUCCUUAGUUUGUAUUCCUCCCUGUGCUUCCUCUUGGCAUGCACACGUGCGUUUUGCUUUACUCCCUGCUGUGCCUCAGUUGUUUGUCAUGCAACGAUGAAAGCCAUGUGCUGAACUCUGUAUAAACCCGCUGUCAUUAAUGUUGGCUCUCCCUGUGAAAUUUGAGGCUUUAGGAAACCUCAACCGCUAAUUUUUGAGUCUCUUAAAGACGGGAGGUUCACCUUGUCUAUCUGAGAGCGAUCAAACAUAAUCCUGAGAUGCACUUUUGCUUUGUUUUAUUUCUCCUCAGGCAGUGAGUCGUUUUUUUUUUUCUUUUUUUACUGAGAGAUUGAUUAAAAGCCUCCGCCGUGAGCUUUGAUAAAAAUACAAAUCUGACUUCCUUGAACUUCUUAUACAACCUCCUCAUUAAGAAGAAGUAACCAAACUGUGAGUUUUCAGGCUUAGCCACUGCAUACUCUGCUUUUUUAGGCGAACCAGAACACUGUCAACAAAAUCAUCAUUUAAAGGGAUAUUUGGGCGUGAAAUUAAUUUAGGCUCAAACACACCAUAACACCGAGUUAGACACCCCGCGAGAGAUCGAUGUUGCUGACCACCUGCUUCUCCAGUUAUACCAACUUUAGUAACGACCACACGAUAGCAAUACACAGCAAUACUCAACCAAAACGCCACUCUAUAGCCACAAAUAAUACUCAGAACAGCACCUAACUUCAGCAACAGUACAUAUAGGGUCCCAGCCACAGCACUAGCCACCAAACAUUUUUUUAUCUUUGCCUAAUUUCUUUAGCAAAGAGACUAAACACAACUCACCUACUCUCUUCCAGCAGCCGCUUGUUUGUAGGGAGACCUCGGACCAGUCCAUCAUCGACUGCAGCAGUUUGCAACGUAGUUUUAAAAGGCUUGAAUGAACGUGAAUAUUUCAGUGUUGAAAUUGUACGCUGUAUAAAAACGCAGAAAUUCAUUGUCUAUAAUGUGUAGGCUAAUAAAUUAAAUUUAGAAAUGAAUCAAAUUAAUCAUCCUUUGAUACCGGGUGGUGCCGCUUUCUGUGGCCCAAAAUCUCUCACCGUGCUGGGCAGGAGCUCUGGCGAAUUCUUCGGCAUUCGCUCUGGAGCCUCCUGCUAGCUAGCCCGUCACAUCGCCAGCUUGUUUCUGAAUCGAUUGGUAGUUAAAGUAAAGUUUAAAGUAAAUUUGCACUUGCACAGUACUGAUCGGGUGAGUAGCGACUCACUGCCGUAAAACACAUUGAAAUGCCAAGAGAGGAAGUGAUGUACGUUUCGCACAUGUGCAGUACAAAUCGAUUUCUGGGACGGAUCAGGUAGCGACAGGCAGAGUGGCGCUUUUCGGCUCCAGGAGGCUGUUUUGGUUUGUUUGUAUCAUGACUGGAUUCACCCAAAGUAACAGCUCAUGGAGUUUUAUACAAAACUAACAGAAUAUUCUUCCAAAUCUGAUCUUUUCCACCUUCACAUCUCAACUUUUUAGUAUUUAAGUAGCUCACUCAUUCAAUAGCUGUCGUCUUUUGACCCACCAGGCUGUUUCACUGUGUAACAAAUUGAAAAAGCUCCUUUUUCAUGACCAAAUGGAAGCAAAAAACAACCAAGUACUUCUCUUUUAGUCUCCAGAUUUAAGAAUUUUGAAGGUAUAGUGUGACUCCAUCUCCAUCUCUGACUUCACCUGUUUCCACAUGCGUGCCUCGUCUCUCGCUCGGAGGGCCGGUUUGGUGUCGCUGAUUUUCUAUGUGAGCGUGUAAGAGUAAAAUUACAUUCCCUAAAUGUUCCAGCGUGUUUUCAGCUUUUUAAUGAACUGCUUCCCCCUCCUGAGAAAAUAACACUGACAGGUAAAGCAGCGUGAGGCAGAGAUGUUUGUUUGUGUCGCUCUUUUCCCCUGAAAACACUUUGGAGGAGUGAUUACGGGAAAUUAAAAAGAUUAUUUCUCACUCUUUUUUUUUUUCAAGGCAGCAAUUACAAAGUUAUUAUUGUUAGCCAAGGAUUUCUUUGGGAAUUAUACCUCACAUUGAGCUUAAAUUACUUUUUUUUCUUUGUCAUAACAGGAAUACAAAACCCAAGUUGAGUCAUCUUUUUUGUAACGUUACAAAGCGGGAAUGUUUUUGGCAGGUUAGGACGAAAGGGGUUUGCUAUUAAACUGGAACAUUUCGUACUUUCCAAAAAGGUGGACAAACUUUCUCUUUCUGUAAUAAUCAAGAAUUAAAAGAGAACUUUUAUGGAGGGAAACUUUCCAAGGACAAAGGAGGAAAAGAGUGAUAAGAGACGCUGUGAUAGAUCGAAUGAUUGGAUGAAACGAUGUGUAAUUAAUUCGUCUCUUCUCGAUCCCAUUGCCUGUCAGGCUUCCCUGUGGCACGCUGCGCCUUUAUUAUUUUGCCAUUAAUGACAACUCGCAAUCAAUCAAAAAGAGUUCCUCAACUCCGAGCUGCUUGAUUAUGAACUGCUCAUCUCCCCCAUCUUCAACAAUGAAUAAUUGCCUGAGAUCAGCUCGGGGAGUCUGUGACAAACGAAGGUUAACAAAUGAGCACUCUGAAGUGUCUCGUCUAAAAGCGAUUAAUAACGUCUUGACAACUUGUGUGAGGAAAGCAGCGGGAAAGCAGACAGAUGGAUGUGUUUAUAUGGUCAACACAUAGAAAAAAAAAAACAGCAAGUGCAUAGAUGGAGAUGGGGCUGGCGUACGUCUAAGAUUUCAGCGAUUAUCAUCAAUGUUCCAGAGAUGCCGGCUAAAAGAGAGACAGGGGGGUAUAAAAGAAGGAAGCGCAGAGAGAGAUUUUUCUACAAAGGCCUGGUAGGGCCGAGAGAAAGCUCUGAUAAGCUGGCAAACGCAUACGUCUUUGCCAGGGUUUCACUGUGCUGAAAAUGGAAUCACAACAGACAAGGAAAGAUAAGCUGUGUGGAAAUAAUCAUGCUUUUAUUCUUCCAGCCUUGAAAUAAUAGAAAAAUCAAUCCCAACCACAGCACGCAUCCAACAAAUUCAAUCUAAAUAAUUCUCAAAGACCUUCAUAGGAAUUAGAAGAAAUCAAAUAAAUGAAAUUAAAUUAGGAAAUGUGAUUUAAGGGAGUCUUUUGAGCUGAGAAACAUUUUUACCGUUAGGUGUUUUUGAUUUUUUCAGCGUCACAUCUGUGGCCACAGGACUGUGCUGUGAGGGAAAUCAUGUUUGAAAGCAGACUUAUCGGAAAUGUCAGUCAGAGAUAUUUUAGUGAGUGAAGAGUGUCAGAAACUGCAGGAGGUUUCACAGGCUGCUGUCAGAACAGAAAAGGCACAUUUCUCUAUUUUAUCCAAUAUUAUUUUAACUCAUCUACACUAACGUCUUAUAGCACCUUCAUUACAAGAGCACGCAUCUGCUAGAUGAGGAGAAAUCAUAAAAAAUAUUAUUCCAAAUUGAUAGUAAAUUAUCAAAUUUCUACCCUUGAGUGUAUAAAUUUAGAAUAUCUAUAAAAACUAUAAUCAAAACCCUCAUUAUACUUCAUGAGACAUAACAGUGCCAUUGAGAGAGAGAGAGAACAAAAGUGCUCUCAUUAAUAUUUCUCAUCAUCGUGAAUGAGCUCAAAUUCACUGAGCGCCUUUUUUCAGGUGUCUUCAGAUAAAAAAGAAUCAAAAGGUUGGCUAAAAAUUAUGUUGUCCAUUAAAUGAUUCACUCAGUGCAUCACAGAGCCAAAUUAGAAUCAUACAAGUGCAGAUUUCCCUUCAUUUCCACUCAGGAUCUGAUAGAGUUGACACCUGUCCCAGAAUUGUUCUCCUUUUUUCACCAGCUGUCCAGGGAAAAACAAAAUCUCUCCCAGGACACAGUUUGUCUCGUUUUUUAGGGGAAAUGCCAAAAUCUCAUUUGAUUUCUGUCUUUCUGUGGUCUAGAACUGUUCCUUUGCUUCUGUCUUCUGUUUUCUUCCCGUAGUAUGUGUAUGUCAUCAAACACGCCCUCAUUCCAGCACCAGUGAGCCCAAGCAGGAAACAGGGAGGGAAGUUUGACCGAUGCCACUCUGAGGUUGAUAUCAGAUAUUGGUCCGAUAUCAGCCAAAAAAACAAAUAUCGGAUUAUACCUACCUGCAUCUAAAAUCUCCGAUAUCAGCACCCCAAUACAAGCAGUCUAUUCCACUUGUCGUGCACAAGUUUGUGCCAAUAUUGGAUAAAUAUUGGUAUUGGCCGAUACUGAAGGCGACAAGAUAUCGGUAUCGUAUCGGAUGUAAAGAAAAGUUGUAUCAGGACACCUCCACUCUGAGGCGUUGUUUACACCAAGUUUUGUGGUCUUUAUUUGAAAUGGGAGGAGAGACGACAGACGAGGAAGGAGAUGGAGUAAAUAAAAGGAAGGAGCCACCAGCACGAAAAAAAUAUAUACUAGUUACAAUCCUGACUGGGCGAAACUUUCAGACGUUGAAUAGGUGCGGCCGACCCAAGGAGACCAAAACGCAAAAACAAAAACAACAUCAAACCAAGGAGUCCACCCAGAAUCAGUGCAACAGAGUCAGAGAGACAACCUGUGUCACAACAAACAGGUAAGCAAAGAAACAAGGAGUCUUUAAUUGUAAACCUAGUGUAUUUUCACAUCCAAUCAUGUUUUAAUCUGUAUUUUUGUUUUCAGUGUAGAAGAUGGCAGCAGGAGCAGCGGGCCAAGGAGUCCAUCCAUAACCACUGCAAUCAAGAACAUGUGUGUCAGAGAGACAACCUGUGUCACAACAAAGAGUUAAGAGAAGCUGUGGGAAGUGCUAAAAGUUCACCUCGUAUAUUUGCACAUUCACUCAUGUCUUAAUCUGUAUUUUUGACUCCUUCGGUGACUCCUCAAAAUUAUCAGCUGGUGUACAUCCACCCUGGUUUGCUUAGCAGUCAGCACUGUGUGUGUGUUUUUGACCCCUGAAUGUGUUAAUAAAUGACUUCACAUGACUUUGUUUGUGUCUCCUCUGUCUGGAUUUUAUGUUAAUUGGUCCGUCUGAACUGGUAUUAAUGGUCGAGCCCUCUGCCCCAAGCAUGUGAUCGAGUGUCCCUUUUUUUCUAAAGUCCAGGAUGGCAACCCUAGUAUCUGCAGGCUUGACCACGUUGCACCUGUGACACCUUUAUGUUAUCCAAUGCUUCAGUAGAGAUUGUAGGGAGAGCUACGAUCUUCAAAGUCCAGGGAGACCAGUCUAGUGGCGCCACAAUCAGGGCUCCUCUCCUUCUUGUACUUGUACACUAAUUGUUGUCUACUACUAAGUAUAACCCCAUAACUGAUGCUGGAUGGUACUACUAAUACCUCAGCAAGCUGAGCUCCACUUUCUCGAAAUUUCGACAUUAUUCACAACAUUUCUUAUUUUCUAAAUUUCGACAUUACGCACGACCUCUCGUAAUCUCGAAAUGUCAACUUUAAUCUCGAAAUUUUAAUUUUUAAUCUGAAAAUUUUGACUUUAUUGACUUAAUUUUGAUUUUUUAAAUCUUUAAUCUUCCCCUUCAUGUGGCCCCAAUCUUCUUUCAUGUCUGUUGUGAUUUUAGAUGUUGCUAUCUGUGUUAAUUUGUCCAUUUAUUUAACCCGUUUAAUGACUGUAUCCCAACACCUACUGUUGUACUGUUAUGAUGUAUGUUUGCUCCAUUUGGGGACACAAAUAAAAUUAAAGUUGUUCACCCCCGUGAUGACAAACAGAGCAUGUGUCAUAGUUUCAGAAAUAUACAGUCUACCUAGAGGUUUAUCACAUUAUAUGAGAUUUAAUUACAGGACUCAUGCACUUUACAUUUCCAAGCAUUCGGUGCUUGAAUCUCACUCCUCCAGCGCUCAAUCUCUUAUGUAAAUGAAAUCGGAGUUGCAAAUGUGCCAGUUGAUGUAAGUGAUUGCAGACGGGGUUAUUCUGUGGUUAUUUAAGAGCUGCUUACAGCUCAGGAGAUAGAACAAGUAGUUCAUUAACGGGUAGACCAGCGGUUCAAUCCACAGCUCUCUAACUCAACGUGUCAAAGUGUCCCACGGCAAGAUAUUGAACACUCACUGAACUCAGUGUGAGAGUGUGUUAAAUGGCAUUCGAUGUGCAGUACCCAGAGCAACUUUAACAACACAGCAGCAUCCUAUCCUUGUUUUGCAUUUCCCUUCUCUGUGCUUCGUGCUCAUUUUAAGAAUUAAUCCACUUCUAUUUGCUCAGUGUUGAAGGUAAUGUAAUAGGUCAUUAGAGUGACAAAUUCUCACAUUAACCACUGCGGUGCAUAAAUAUAGAGUGGAAAAUUACUUGGCAUUCACACUUAUUAUAAAAAAAAAGUGCAUUUCAGCAGGAAAGUAUAAAGGAAUACAUAAAUAUGUGGUUAGCUGGUGUUUCUGGUCAGUAUUUCCUCUGAAGCCAGGAAAAAGCAGUGGAUUUAUGAGCAUAAUAACGUCUGAGGUUUAUGCAUCAGCUGCCCAACUCAAGUGUCCCCUGUCAAUAGAAGCUGUGCAGGAUAAAUGAGUGCCCCCUCUGCCACGGUGCGGGCAAAGAAAAACGUCUGACAGAGUGAUGAUACUUAGCAGAGUGAAAGCAGGGACAGGAGCUGUGAAGUAUCAGUCUGGCUUUCAGCACAGAGUUGGUGACUCAGCAGCGGCCGGCAGUGGAUUUCAAUAAAUCAAAACGCUAACUGGACUCACGGGGUGGCCAUGGCUGAGUGUUUCUCAUUACAGCCGGGUGAGUCAACAGAGAGCUGAGUGACAGUCUGGAGACGGGCCAGGGAAUAAUCCACAGACAUUUGGGGCUGUAAGCAACUUUACUGCAGAUUCCUUACUUUACCUGUUUUCCCACAAUGCAUCAACACUCUCCUUUGAUUUGCCUCUACAGUGAAAUCCGGUUUGGAUUAACUGUCGACAACAGGUCUCUCCUUCAUGGCUUUGUAGCAGGAACUGUGAGUCCCAUUGCCAACUAUUGUGUGUUUUUGACAAAUUCUGCAGCCAGGUCCCUGCAGAAUAAAACGGAAGAAUUUGGUUAGUAACUACUGGCAUUACAGCAGGAGAAGUCUUGUUAGACGAUUUUUAAAGACCUGAGUAUUUGACAGGUCGGCUCCACUAAUCUGUAAAGUAAGUGUACCUUCCCCUCAUGACUGAGGACAGCUGUGACUCACCACAAAGAUUCCAGGGGGGGAUAAGACGAGGACGGGCAGGUUAAAUGAAGUUGCUUAAAAGUAGGGCAAGUCAACUUAUGACCGAGGCAGAGCCGAUUUUGAAGAAAAUGGUUUUCAGUGCAGCAGAGACAUUAAACAGCUGUCAAACAGCCAAGAAAUAUGGUGUCAGAGAGAGUAGUGUUGGAAAAGGGAGAGUUUGAAAAGACUGGCUUCAAAUACGUGCAAGUGUGUGACUGAGAAAUGGGUCAAAGGUACAAGUAUGAGAGCCGUCGUCCUUCCAAUAGACCGUAGAAUCAUCAAUUCGAAUCAUCAGGGUGUUAAUAAAAAAUAUACCGUACUUUAAUUUACACAUGGAUUCACAUUGAGUUUUGAGGAAUGUAGCUGAUGCAGAAGUGAGAAAGAUUGGAGUGAAUAUUUUUGUGAUGAAAGUUGUGGCUGAUUUGAUUGACAGGCGGGCAGACUGUAGCUUUUUGUAAGGAGGCCACAGACCCUCCUCUGAUAGGUUGAUCAGCAUUACCAGUAUGGAAACUAGAGCUGGGCGAUAAUGCCUCAAAUCAAUAUCCCGAUAUAUUGAGCAGUUCACCUUGAUAAUGAUAAAUGGACUAUAACUUCUUCACAAGCUGCUCACCCCCUCCCACAUUAACUUCCUCUACUUCAGCCGCUACAACUUUUGAACCGUCCUCCAUCUCCUCACCUGUCUUUCCCUCUUUGUCACGGACUGGAUGGGGUGGAGUCAUGUCUCUGACGUAGGACUGCGUCUUGAAGGGACAUGAGACCAUAGCCUACCUACACACAUCCAAAACCAACUUUUAUUUAUUUAUUUUGACACUGAAUAUAUUGAUAUGGGCAAAAUGAUGAUUGUUGUAAAUUUCAGUAUCGGUAACUUUUUUGUUUAUCACCCAGCCCUUAUGGAAACUGCUGCCGAUUGGCCUCAAAGAAAUGAGUGACGCCACUGAUGUUACGUCCAGUUAUUAUACAGUGUUUGGUGGUAGCCUGCUUCUUGAUGCCAUUUUCCUGGCAAUAUACUUUAACUCAAUGAUGUACAUCCCUUUGCAUUAUAUAUGAUAAUAUUGAUUGCAGAGGUCUAAGGAUGUGCCCACUUUUUGUAAAUUUGGGGGUUCUAGUAUACAGAAAAAUUUGACUGUGAAUAGUGCCGGUUAAAUUGAGAGGUUGCACAUGAUAAAAACUGAAAAACAAGCAAAAAUCAAGUCAGCAUCACAGCAUCAUUGCUUUGUCUCAGACAUUUACAUGCACAGCUUAAUCAGACUUAGCUUAUAAUUUGUUUUUUUUUUUGCUGAAUCAUACUUAUCUCCUUGUCCGCAUAUACAUGCAGCUGAGAAAAUCGAAUUAUUGAUGUGAACGUGUCCUUCUCCCCAAAACUAGGGGGCGAUAUGGGUAUUUUCAGCGGUCUUUUCCCCAUUUUGCGACCAUCAGUAUACUUUAAAAUGUCCAUUUCUUUCAGGAGGGGAGCAUAACGGCACUCUCCUCCUCGUUUCAGAAGUGGACCUUCUUUUGUUGCAGUUGCUUCUGAGUCGAAAGUUCUUUAAAUAGUAGUGCCACUUCUUCUCUGGUGUUUUUGUUCCAGGGUUACGGAGGCGCACGCACACAUGCGUUGUCCAUCAUACUCCGACUACGCUGGUUAUAUGGUUGAGAAAAUCGAAUUCCAAUCGCAUUAUCUGGGUGUCUUAAUCGGAGUUCUCAAACUCCGAUUAUAGUCAGACUAAGGUGUUUACAUGCACUUUAUUUUUCCGGUCUUAAUCGGAGUAAGGCGAUAAUUCGGUUUUCUUGAGUGUCAUGUAAACGUACUGCGUGAUGUUCAAACUGGGACAGGCUCCGGGUCAAAGGUGGUCUCCACCUCCCCGGACACGUCAACUCCCCUUUAAGUCUCCUUCAGAGAGUGAACCUUUAAUUGCUCAGUGGCUCUGGGCUUCCUCUUUAACACUCUGCUCUCCGGUGAUAUUCAUACAUAUGCAGAUGAGCCGUUGUUGUAUAUGCGCUUUAGGGAUUCAUAGUAUAGCCAGUGUCAGUAAAACUUAUUAAACUGGGAUGGAGAAGGAUUAAGAAAACCUUACAUCCAUUGCGGUGCCACUGUAAUAAGUGUCUAUUAAAACCCCAAAUAAACAAACAUUAUUGAAAGUGACCUGCAUAAUAAAUUUAAUAACAUAAAGUAAUACCGUCCAGCCAUCCAGCGCCGUCAGAGUCUGUUUCUCUCCGUGACUUAAGUGAAUGCAAGAGAAGCUGCGAACGCCACUGGAGGAGGCAAACAAAAUUACAAGCUCCACUUACGCGAGCAAACAUAAUUAACGGGCACCGAAUCUGACAGUGCACCUGUUCGAGUCCUGAGAAGCCGUCCUGCCUGAGGAGUAAAUCUGCUGCAGAUCUGCCGCCUCUAUAAUGAUGCCGCUGUUAUGAAAUUGUAAAUCUUCUCAUUGUCUCAGUUUUGUGUAUAAUAGGAUCCAUUUCUGUAGCCGUUCCCUCGCUCUUACUCACGAGUUUUUCCAGUUGUUUUCUUGAAUCCUGCCCUCUCUGCUCAUGGACCUGCAUCCUAAGUGGCCUCUAUGUCUGUGUGCACAUACAGUACAUGGCCUUGCCUAUGUGUGUGUGUGUGUGUGUGUCUGUGUGCAUGUGUGCUCGACCCUCGCCUAUAACGAGCUCGUGAAAUCUUCCGGACUGCUCUAAUAGCCGCAUUCUAAGCUGUACCCCGGGGCUAAAGGGGUCGCGUUUUGUCGGUGGGAGCCGAGGCGAGCAGGAGCGCCUCGCAGCCUCCAGCCCAGCCAUCUAUCAGCACAGCUUAGACCAUCGCUACUGCUCAGCACCGUGGCCGACACACACACACACACACACAGAGUCCUGGCUGCUGGGGUGGAAAUGCAGAGACAAAUAUAAAGUACGUGUUGGGUUUCAUUAUCUAAGAGCAGCAGAGAGGGGAGGCACAGUGGGGAAGAGGCACAACACAGCCAGUCGUAUUAAAUUCUGACAUUUCAAUAUGCCCCCCAAAAAACCUGCAAUUACUUAUCCCCCUUCAGAUUAAUAGAUGCUUUUAUUGCUGCUUUCUUAAUCCAUUAGGAAUCCCAGAGAGAGGGUUUUAUUUUAGAGGCGCAGCCAAUUUCAAAUUAAAAGCAAAGAUCUGAUCAGACUGCUCGGAUAUUACCUCUGUGAUGCAUGUUUUUUAGGGGGAAACUAGUCCUUCACUGUUAUGUACUACAACUCCUAUCAGUUUGGCUCUGGAAAUGCCAAGCUCAUUACCAUCAGCCGGCCCGGCUUGAUGAAAACUAAGCCGUGAUUCCAGAAGAAGCUGAUAUGAGAGAAGGAGGAGGAUUAGCAAGCUGUCAGCGGGCUGGAGGAGAGUUCAGAGCGAGCUCGGCGAAGCUGUCUGUGCCAUCAGAGUUCAUCUUUAUUAAAGGAUCUAAUGAGGAUUUGCAAAUACGGCGUCAAAUAAAUCACACAUGAUCUUUGUGGCUGAUAAAUGUUGAUUUUUUUUUUUAUUUUGGUCUGAGGGAAAUGUCUUACUCUGAGUCAUAGCCUUGAGUUAGUUAUAUUCAGCUCAUCUGACGCUUUUCAAACCUUCACUUUUCAUCAUUUCAGAUAAGUUUGAUUUAUUGUUAUUGCAUGCUCAUCAAUAGCUCAACCAGCAAUCCAUUCCCCAGAAUUAUCACUAAGGUCUGUAAAAAAAGUGCAGACAGAGACAAUCUUUCAAUAGAUUGUCAGGUUUUCUACAAUACUUGAGUUUCAGUGAAACAUUAAAUUUCUGAUUGGUCGCCUUUACUUUCCAAACAGAAAAACAGACAUCAGACCAACACCAAAGAACAGACAGCCAAACAACGACAAAGUUUUGUUUUAUAGAAGUUUUAAAAAAGUCUAGAGGAAGAGUUGAAGUAAUCGUCAUGUUUAAAUCGCUGCAUUAAAUUGGCUGUUUCACAAGGAUACUUAAGAGUGGCCAUACUUUGGAUGAUUUCCGGACAGAUUAGGGGUCUGAUUUGCAGCCCUCAGUGAUCAGGGGGUUUGGCCUGAUUCAAGGCGGAUUAUUCGUCCAGAUAAUCCUCAAGUCUGUGGUGUCAGUGGAACUAUUUUACUGCUCCUGACCAAACCAGAGCCCUCUGAUCCAGAUGCGCACAUAUUGACUGACCAGAUGUCGUGCACUCACCUCCAGCCCGUGCUGCAAAGUGUGCAACCUAAACAUCUUCUCAACCAGGAUGUUUACCUAUAAUCUUGAUCACCAUCCAUCAAUCCAUCUUCAGGUGCUCAGGGAGAGCCCAGCCACCCUGCGGAGGAAACUCAUUUCGGCCGCUUGUUCUCGUGAUCUUGAUCUUUUGGUCACUACCCACAGCUCGUGACCGUAGAUGAGGGUAGGAACGUAGAUCAACUGGUAUAUCGAGAGCUUUGCCUUUCGGCUCAGCUCCCUCUUCACCAUGACAGAUCUGUGCAGCAUCCACAUCACUGCAGAUGCGGCACCACUUCCCCUGUCAAUCCCCCGCUCCAUUCUUCCCUCACUCAUGAACGAGAGCCGAGAUACUUGAACUCCUCCACUUGGGGCAGGAUCCCGGAGAGGGCACUCCACCUUUUUUGGGCUGGGAACCAUGGACUCAGAUUUUGGAUUAGGUGCUGAUUCUCAUCCCAGCCGCUUCACACUCGGCUGCGAACCGAUCCAGUGAGAGCUGAAGGUCACGGCCCGAUGAAGCCAACAGAACCAAGUCAUCUGCAUAAAGCAGUGACCCAAUCCUGAGGCCACAGAACUCGACCCUUCAAAUUCUGUCCAUAAAAGUUAUCAACAGAAUGGGUGACAAAUGGGAAUAUUCUUGAUCUCAUUAUUUAUUUUCAUUGCAAGUUUCUGUAAGAUCUCUGGUCUGCAGAAUCACCUGGCUGAGACUUUGGCUAAGACCCAACCAUCAAUGGGGCCCUUUAAAAAAACAAAAAGUGAUCCAUACACCAGUUUAUAUAUAGAGAAAAUAUUAAUUCCCUGUAGACUCAUGCAUGUGUGGGUACAUUAGUGUGCACAUGAUCCUUAAAUUAAGGAGCCGGCCCCCCCAAUCAGUUAAUGGCCACCCCAGUCUAAGAGUUCUGGGCAUACCCCUGUUAAAAAAUCAGAGAUUGGUGCAGUUUUUCACUUUUAUAGUACAUUGUGAUAAAAUACCGGGUCAUAAAUGCAGAACUGCCCGAGAAUAAAUCCCGCUUUACUUUACAUACUUUUCUUUACUCUCCCGCUGUGGGGCUCAGUGUUUGGUUUAACUUCCUCUCUUUUUUACAGUAUAUGGGAAUCUUCCACCUUUUAUGUCCUGUCAGUUUUUUAUUUCUUGAUUUACACGCUUUCCCUGGCCGCACUUCAAUCUCCUGACAUCAAAAUUUAAACCUACUUCUGCUUCCUUACGGGCUGGUUUCAGGAAUCAGAAAUAAUCAUGCCAUGAUAAACAAAAGCUGAAAACAGACAUGCAAGCAAGAACAUGUUUGGGACGUCAAAAAGAGUGCAAAACUGUGGUCUGAAUUCAUGAAACAGUCACUCAAAAGACGACCUUAAAAGUUUUAAUGAGAUGCUUAGUUGUGAAAUCGUUUGUUUCUUAACUCUUAUGACUUAUAGAUGUGAAAAAUUGCUCAAAUGCAGCAAAACCAAAGUGACAAAUGUGAAUUUUAUUGCAGGUUUUUCCAGACGACUUCAUCCUCUGCAGCCAGUGCAUAUUGACUGUGCAGAGACAACGGAGGCAAUUAACGAAAAAGAGGUUUUGAUUUCCGAUAUCGCCCGGCGUUUUUUUUUUUUAUGUAUACUUUGUUAAAUAAUGCUGUUAAUACAUAAUUCAUGACAAGAUCUCUGCAGCACAGGUAUAAAAGUGCUUAAUCCUGCAGAAAUAAUCAGACAAAUCUUCGUGUGGAAUAAUUCCUCCUCUUGUAGCGGCUCUGAAUAAUCCUUUAGAGCGACAGCGGGACGUCGGGACUGAUGGCCAUUGAUCGUUGCAGUGAUUGUAAGAAGGCACUGGAUUGAGUCAAACAAUCACCCGCAAUUACAUUGAUUGGAUGAAUCUCCGAUAGGGAGCAGCGUGGCUAAACAAAGAGGAAGCAGUCGGGGACCAGAGAGGACAGUGUGAGGUGAUGAAUGAUUCACCGUGUGUUCUGCACCUGUAAUUUUGUUUGACAAGCUGAUGAGGCUGCGCUACAUGCCACACCGCAUGCAUGUUAAUGCGGCUGCGUUGCACCAGCAGUGACAACAUAAUGCACUGAAAGUUGGAGGGGAAGAGCAUCGCGUGAUAAAGAAAGUGUUCAAAGGCGUCAGGAUCUGGCCUCAGCCUGUAAAGGUUUAAUUAGACAAGAAGAAGUUCCACUUCAAGCACAUCAUCAUCAUCAUCAUCACUCCAUCCAUGUGUUAGAGAACAAGACGAACCCUGGGACUGCUUUCAUGUAGGUGGAUAUAUUCAAUUUUCAUUCAUCAGAGACAAAAGUCUGCGUCUUAUAACACCUGUUCAUCACCCACAUCUGUGCGAGGAGCUCCCCCCGUCCAAGAAACGACGUCCUCUGAGGCUGAAACACUGUCUUCGCUGUAUUUUCUUUCAUUUCUCUCCCAUGCGUCCAAAUCCUUCCAUCUGGACCUAGAAGCGGUGUGACGAUUCGUGCCAGCUCUGAAGACGAGCAUCCAGCAUCUUAACACUGUACGAGCUGGUUUGUGUCCAUGAAUGGAUGAAGGGUGGAAAACGGUGCAUCAUGACAGUGAGAUUUACAUCCCGUUAGCUUUUGACGUAGUAUUGUGUGCAAAAAUGGGCAGAGUCGAGAUUUGAUUGUUUGAAAGUAAAACACUGUUUCUUAAGUUUUGUGACUGGUUGUUCACAUUUGUGGCUUUUUUAAAGGCCUCUGUGAGGAACUUCUGGUUUGUACUGGCUAUAGCGCCCCCUGUGGCCAAAGUGAAACCUAAAACUAAUGUAUGUCACUCAGUGUGAGUUUCUGAGAUAGAGACAGUUUUGGAAGGCUGCCUUUUGAACCAUCAAUGUUCAGACUUUCCAUCAAUUUGAUUGGAUCAUUGUUCAACCAAUCAAUCCAGAUCAAUGGAUAGUUACACCUUUACCUGUUAAUGGUUUACAAAAUCAUAAAGUCUAUCACUGAUUGGUUUAACUGUCUUUAUUCGGUUAUUCUUCACGUGUCAAAGUGCUAAAGCAGGAAAGGUGUCCGAUUGAGAGUUAGACAUGACGCUGCUUUUUGUGCUUCUUCGACUUUCACAUUCAAAAAUUAGCGGUACAUCUGACUGUUAAAGAAAGCAGGAUGAUAUUUCAAAGACUGCUAAACUGUCACAAACAAAUAGGGCACUCAAACCGAGUGUGAGUAAAAUCAUCUACUUGAUUAAUUCGUGCAAAACUAGACGCAUUAAUGAAUAGUAUUUAGUCGCUUCAUUCGCGCGUCAAAGCCAUUUAUGCUCAUUUCAACGGUAAUCCACGCCAAUUCAACUGGCGGGAUCAAGUGACAAAGUUUUUUACAAUUUACCAGGUAAUCCGACCUCUUCACUCACUUGCCUCCAGGCGAGCUCCUUUGUAUUCAGGUUUCAGUGAUUGAAAGAAAAGGUCUCAUAUAAUUCAGGGCACCCACACACCAACACAAUCAGUUUGUCCUCCAUUUUAGAAACCAAUAAACAACCGUCCAUGUUCAUACGUCACCCGACAACCUUCGUGCUGAUUGGUUAUCACGACACGAAUAUCCACUCAAGUUGAGACAUUUUCAGCCUAAUUUGCAUAAUUUACGCGGCAAGAGUAGUAGUAGCGUCUGAUCGCGUCUUUGCAUUGACUUAACAUGUAAUUUAUUCGCGCGAAUGAUUUUACUCGCGCUUGGUUUGUGGAGACAGUAAAAGUCCCUGGAUCGUUUAGGGGGGAAAUAAUUCAUCUUAUUUACUAAUUAGUAUCCUCAUUUAAAACCAAUAAACAGCAUAAACAGUGAUUUAUAACUCAUGAUGAUUUGCUUUAUUACACUUCUACUCUUUAUCAGAUUUGGCGUCAAAUGAAUCUGCUGGAAAAACACUUAAAAAAAGUCGACAAGCUGAUUGGCUGUGCUGCAGUAAAACCCCAAACAAAUAAAUAAAUAAAGCUAUAAAGGCAGAAACAUCCUUUUGUGUCUGAUCUGACUAAUUCCAUUAAAUUAAACAAAAGAGAUCGACAUAAAGAGCUUCGGAUGAACUGACGUAUUUCAUCAUUUGCAGCAAUAAAAAAAAAACUCAAACUGAGGUCUCCCUGGAGCAAUUAACCUGCCAUACUGCAUCAGACUUCUCCUUCUUUUGUUAUUUGAUUAUAUGAGUCAACACUCUCCUCAUUUGCUGGUCUAUUAGUUACGACUCUAACUGUGGAAAUAGCUGCUGUUCAACCCAAAGUGAAAAUGUCACUGGAAGCCAAUUAACUGGCAGACCUGUUCACCCUGCACCCCACCGUGUUUGAACGUAUACUCUUGACCCAUUUCCUUUAGGAAUAAAUUGAAUCUGUUCCUGCUAAUGAAUGUGACCUGGACCUGAUCCCUGAACUGUGACUGACUGUUUCUCCUCCAGGAGACCCGAUGCUCAAUUAAGUUCAGUUUGAAUCAAACAGUCGAGUGCUGCUUCCUGAGAGAGUAUCGUUAAAUCAAAUCACUUAAACAAAUGUAAAAAAGGAUAUUAGUCGGAGUUAUUUCACUUAAACUGCAAAAGAACUAUAUUGGCUCCUUGAACGGAACUAAAUGGAAAUAGAAAUGCAAAUUUGUGGAGCUUUAAUUGAUCACAAUGUCUCCCGGACAAACAGAAAUCUGCCAUGAAAGGACCAAACUGGAAUAAUUGGGCAUUUUCUCUUCCUCUCUUUUUGUUUGUCCCUUUAGAUAAACUACAUCCAGCUCAUCCAAACUCCGUUAAUCAAUCUUCUGGUCGCACGGUGGGUCCAGAACAGUAAAGAAAAUCCAUCUAAAGCAUCCUUUUGAGUCUCUGUUUUUGGACCUCCUCAGGUAGUCCAUCAUCGUAAAGGAAAAAGGAAGUCUGCAGUGUUAUUUCGCAGGCUGCUUCUGCUUGUGUUUGCAGAGAAAACAGGAAUGUGAAUGAAAUCAGAAGUUCAAGGAAACUUUAACUCAGUGAAUGCAGUAGGUGGAGGAGUUUGAACAAGUAUGAGUCAUUUUCUGAGAAAUUCUCCAAAACACGUCAAAAAUAGACAACAGCAAACACUCAUUUUGUUGUCCGAGGUUGACUCUUAUGUAAUGGUUUCUGGGAAUGAAUUAGCUGAAUGAGGUCACUGCGACGCUAAUGGCAACACAGCAGUAUUAUGUUGUUUAUUUCACACUUAAAAACCCAAAGAUCAAACCCUGAAGAGUGUAGCGUCUGUGGUGGGAGAUCGUGUUUGACCCAUGUUGGCAAAAACCCAACAAGACUGGAGCUCCGGCUUCCUGUCAGAUCUGGGUGUGAGGCUACGAGCAUCAAUUUGUUGGAGGUAUUCAGUGUCACAUAUGGAGGAUAAUUCAGACUGAAUAUGCUGCGAAAUUUGAGACGCACGUCCGACUGCAAAGUCAACGGAGUGAGGGCAUGAAAAGUUGCAGAUUCACUGUCGGGUGUACGAGUUUGGGCAGAAACAUGUCAGAGCUGCUCAGUAUGAAUUUGUUUGUUUACACAACAACAGUCACACACAAGGACAAAAGUCAUAAAUGUUGAACACUGAUACGUCGAGCCAAUAAUGAGUCAGCUUGGAGAGGCAGAAGCUCAGGCUGAAGGGCUCAGUGUUGGAAGGUCCCCAGUCAAGUCUCAAGUAUGUGAAUUGGACUUGUAGUUGUAGAGGUGUCAGUAAGCAAGACGCUGGAUCUGCUUCCCCUGCAGCUGGAGAUGCCGAUUCAUGUCCAACCAUCUCAAUCUCAUCUCAGAAGUUAAGUGCGAACACUAAAUUUCCUUACAGUGUUAAAAAAUUGUUUGUUUGGUAAAGUUUGGCAAACUUUAAAGCCCCCAAAUCAUUUUUGUCCUGUGAAUAUUUCAUCAAAAGAUAAAGAAAAACUUCAAUUUCAUAAAUAGUGACCUGUUUUAUUCAAAAUUAUUCUAUUCAUUUUUUAUCAGUAUCUAAAAAUUGAUUAUUUUCAUAAACAUUUGAUUAAAAAAGCUUUAAAAAAUGUUUGUAUUUUAUAUGAAAACAUUGACUGUGUGAUUUUAAAAACCCAUUUCUGUAAAGUUAUGGUCUGUUUGGAGCGUCUCUGUCCCUUCACUGCAGGAGGUCUUAACCCCUAAGGUGUGUCAUAAUAAUAUAAACUCCGUACUCUACUGUGCAUGUUGUAAGUGAUAAUGACCUUUGUCUUCGAAAAAGUCAGAAUAUGGAAAAACAAGAAGAUAGUCAUGUGAGCUGUAUUAAUCCUAGGAUUUUAUGUAGAUUUAGUCUUGGCUUUAACUCUUCCCCCUCCAGCACAUAAUGAAACUGCAUUUCUGACCAAGUUUGGCAAACUUUGAAGCCCCCAAAUCAUUUUUGUCCUGUGAAUAUUUCAUCAAAAGAUAAAGAAAAACUUCAAUUUCAUAAAUAGUGACCCGUUUUAUUCAAACUUAUUCUAUAAAUUUUUUAUCAGUAUCUAAAAACUAAUUAUUUUCAUAUUAUUUUCACAUUUGAUUAAAAAAGCUUAGAAAAAGUAUUUUUAUAUGAAAACAUUGCCUGUGUUAUAUUAAAAAAACAUUUCUGUGAAGUUAUGGUCUGUUUGGAGCGUCUCUGUCCCUUCACUGCAGGAGGUCUGUGCCCCUAAGGUGUGUCAUAAUAAUACGAACUCCGUACUCUUCUGUGCGUGUUGUAAGUUAUAACGACCUUUGUCUUUGUCUACCUGUAAACAAGUCUUUGUGUGUUUCUUUUGUUCUGGUUUGAUGAAUUUAAAGCUUCCAUGUUGCUGGAAUUUUCCAGGUAAAUUCAAGGUCAGAAAGUAAUUCUUAGAGUUUAUCCAUGAAAGUGUUCGCUUAAGUAAACAUUAUAUUUAAAACUUCCACUUCUGAUCAAGAACUGCGGAUUAUAAGUGACUAAGUACCUUUGAUUACAGUGAGUUAGAGCUCCACUUGAACCCCGAGCCACAUGAUUUUUCUUCUAUGUAUUAAACUCAAUUAUAGUAAAUGCUGUAGUAAUUUACUCAAACAAUACACUCAUACAUCUAGCAGCAAUGUACACAGGCUAUAGCAGAGGUUCAACAUAAUUCACUCCACUUUACAUUAAUAAGACAUGCAAUAGUCUCAUAUUGAUGGAAAAAUACACAAGUUCAGACGGUUUCCUGGCUGACAAAAGCUGUUGGCGUGUAUUUUGCUGACCAACAAGCUUGUUGUGCACUCAGCUUAAUGAAAUGACUACAGCUCACAGUGAGAAGUUCUUAUAAUGCAGAUUUAAACUACAGUUUUUAUUCAUUUUCAGGCUGCUAUUCUCUGUCGGGAUUUUGGAUUAGAUCCAGUGUGUGAUUUUGUUUCUUCUCUUCCACAGACUUUUACUUCAGACUUCGAGAAAAAGCGGAAAUAUCAUCACACAAGAAACUUUAAGGUGCACUUAGAUCAUUAAAAUGAGUAAAAAAAAGCUGCACAGUAUUGAGAUUUUCAUUUUAAGAUAUUCAAGCUUCAUUAAAAGGAUUUUGUCCAUUCUUUGAAAUUAGUGGACAAAAAUAGCAAGAUUCAAAAAUGGCCCCAAAGAUCAUGGAGACGCAUUUGUCGCCGUCUCUACAUGAAAUACUAAUCUAAAUAUCGACUCUGUUUCGGUGCUCCAGUUCCUGACAAACAUACUGUAUCUAUAUCCUUGGCUUGCAGGUUGUUCCAAUCUCCCACCCCAUCCCCAUGCUGACUCUGGCUCUUUGCGAUGUCUUGGCAGGCGGGUUAUGGGAGCUUAGAGCUGCCCAUGUUAAGAGCCACUGAGACCCGGCCAUAUGGACCAAACAAUAACACGGAAGCUGCAAAGCGGCACAGACCAGGGUGGUGAAUCUCAGCGGGACCGACGGUGCGAGCAACCGUUUUACAAACCAGGCAAAACAUUUGAUUCUGUCCAAACUAAUCAGGCGGCUUUAAGUUACUAAAAAGUUCCCAUAAAAGGAAGUCUUUUUACUGUUUUUUUUUUUGGACCUCAUGACCUGAAAUUUUGAUGCACUGAUCAUCCAGCACUUGCAUUUUAAAUGUCAGUGUGGGUGGCCAUUUUUAUCCCAUGUGGACCGAGAGAAAUGUCAAAUUUAAUACCCCACUAAAAACAUCUUCUCUGACUUAUAAAACAGUACAAAGAAAACCCAUCUGAAUUGCAAAGUGUGUUUUUAUUCCUGUCCCUUCAGCGAACCUAUAUUUUAAUUUCAUGAUUUUCUGGAUUUAAUACCCACAUUAUAAAUAUUUAAGCUCCAAAUUUGUUUAAGUGUAUCCAUGUGGGCAUGUUGUCAAAAGCAGAGGCACAACAGAAAUGUAAUAUGAAUAAGCUUCAUUGUGAAUAAAGCAACAGAGAGGCCUCAGUGCUGGCUGCAUAAUCCAGCAGUCCCAGAAGCUGCUCUGGGUUGAAUGAGGUAAAGAUCUGCAAAGACUCGCUGAAUCAAUUAGUCAGAGUCUUGCUUAAUAAUUGCAAUUUAACCAGAUAUUUUCCAGCCUCAAAAAGCUUCUUUGCUCUUUCUCCAUCUCUCUCUUUGGCGCCGUCAUACCUGCAGGUAUUUGAAAGAAGCCGACUCUGAGG
rnacentral:lncRNA from 1 species